UAUUAGAAGGGCAACUACAUCCGGAUGGU
rnacentral:piRNA from 1 species